GGGCGGGCAUUUAGCUCAGUUGGUAGAGCAUCCGCCUCAUGUGCAGCUGCCGUUGGUUCGAUUCCCACCUCCUGCCCU